rnacentral:rRNA from 1 species
GAGCCUGCGGUUUAAUUUGACUCAACACGGGGAAACUUACCAGGUCCAGACAUGACGAGGAUUGACAGUUUGAAAGCACUUUCUUGAUUU